GAGCGAAGGUCCCAGCAGAGAGGCAGACUGAAAGGGAGGCCUCCCUAACGCAGAGAUAAAAACCUUCGAAGAUGAAGAGCCAGGUGGAAGGGUGCCCAAAGAGUUGUGUAGAUUUUGGUGCAUCCGAAUCCUUGGCUACAUAUGA